rnacentral:rRNA from 1 species
UGGCUCAGGACGAACGCUGGCGGCGUGCCUAAUACAUGCAAGUCGAACGGCGUUUUCUAUGGAAGCUUGCUUCCACUGAGAAGAUAGUGGCGAACGGGUGAGUAACACGUGGGUAACCUGCCCAUAAGAGGGGGAGUAACAUCCGGAAACGGGUGCUAAUACCGCAUAGUUUUCUUGAUCGCAUGAUCGGGAAAGGAAAGACGGCCUUUGUGCUGUCGCUUAUGGAUGGACCCGCGGCGUAUUAGUUAGUUGGUGAGGUAACGGCUCACCAAGACGAUGAUACGUAGCCGACCUGAGAGGGUGAUCGGCCACAUUGGGACUGAGACACGGCCCAAACUCCUACGGGAGGCAGCAGUAGGGAAUCUUCCGCAAUGGACGAAAGUCUGACGGAGCAACGCCGCGUGAGUGAAAGAAGGUUUUCGGAUCGUAAAACUCUGUUGUCAGAGAAGAACAAGUUGGAGAGUAACUGCUCCAGCCUUGACGGUAUCUGACCAGAAAGCCACGGCUAACUACGUGCCAGCCGCGGC